rnacentral:tRNA from 1 species
GGGCAGGUGGCGGAACUGGCAGACGCAGCGGACUUAAAAUCCGCUGCCCGCAAGGGCGUGUGGGUUCAAAUCCCUCCCUGCCCA